GAUGAACGCUGGCGGCGUGCCUAAUACAUGCAAGUCGAGCGAACGGACGAGAAGCUUGCUUCUCUGAUGUUAGCGGCGGACGGGUGAGUAACACGUGGAUAACCUACCUAUAAGACUGGGAUAACUUCGGGAAACCGUAGCUAAUACCGGAUAAUAUUUUGAACCGCAUGGUUCAAAAGUGAAAGACGGUCUUGCUGUCACUUAUAGAUGGAUCCGCGCUGCAUUAGCUAGUUGGUAAGGUAACGGCUUACCAAGGCAACGAUGCAUAGCCGUCCUGAGAGGGUGAUCGGCCACACUGGAACUGAGACACGGUCCAGACUCCUACGGGAGGCAGCAGUAGGGAAUCUUCCGCAAUGGGCGAAAGCCUGACGGAGCAACGCCGCGUGAGUGAUGAAGGUCUUCGGAUCGUAAAACUCUGUUAUUAGGGAAGAACAUAUGUGUAAGUAACUGUGCACAUCUUGACGGUACCUAAUCAGAAAGCCACGGCUAACUACGU
rnacentral:rRNA from 1 species